GUCCGUCGCCGGUGACGUCACAAUCGGCGCUCAGCGUCCAUCGUUGAACCAUUCUCCCGUUUGAAACUGGAGUGUCGAAACUUUUCUUUAAGUUGAUUUCACUAAAUUAAGACAAAAAAUAAAUAUAUAUAUAUUUUAUAUCUAUAUAUUUAUAUAGAUAUAGAUAUAUAUAUAUAUUUAUUUAGUUGUAUAGGCAUAUAUAUAUAGGUAAAAGCUGCUAUAAACCAACUUUUGAGACAAAUUCUGUUAAAGGAAAGUAAAAUACACAAGAGAGAAAAUGUCGAAGUCCAUGUGUAUCAUGCGAGUAUUUAUUUUACUGGUCAUGAUGUGUGGUUUUAUGAGCCAAGUCUCCUGUCAAGGAAAUGAGGCAACAACUCUUGGCGGAGACGAUUCCACAUCAACUGGCUCCAGUGACGCUGCUAAUUCUCUACUGAUGGUGUGCAGUACAGGGUUGAUUAUGAUGAACAUCAUUCAGACAUGGCUCAACUGAUCCUGUUUCCCUGGUACUCUUCACUGAAAUUUAAAUAUUUCUAGUUUAUACCUUAUGGAAAAAUUCUAAAUUAUUAAAACAUUUCAAAAUCAAGUA